GAUGAAGAACGUAGCGAAAUGCGAUAAGUAGUGUGAAUUGCAGAAUUCCGUGAAUCAUCGAGUCUUUGAACGCACAUUGCGCCCCCUGGUAUUCCGGGGGGCAUGCCUGUCCGAGCGUCAUUGCUGCCCAUCAAGCACGGCUUGUGUGUUGGGUCCUCGUCCCCCCCGGGGGACGUGCCCGAAAGGCAGCGGCGGCUCCGCGUCCGGUCCUCGAGCGUAUGGGGCUUUGUCACCCGCUCUGCAGGCCCGGCCGGCGCUGGCCGACGCGAAAGCAACCAUUUUUUCUCCAGGUUGACCUCGGAUCAGGUAGGGAUACCCGCUGAACUUAAGCAUAUCAAUAAGCGGAGGA
rnacentral:misc_RNA from 1 species